rnacentral:lncRNA from 1 species
GGAGGCGGUACUUCCUCCAGCAUUUGCCGCGAGUUAUUGGCAAGUUCCCCUGCAGUUGUUUGGGCUGUCGCUGUGGCUGGUUCUGCGGUGUGCGGCCAGCCAUGGAGCGCUCUGGGCCCAGCGAAGUGACAGGCUCAGACGCAUCGGGACCGGACCCGCAGCUUGUGGUCACCAUGGGCUUCACGGGGUUCGGGGUUCGGUAAAAAAGCUCACACAUUUGACUUGGAAGCAAUGUUUGAACAAACUCAAAGAACAGCUGUGGAAAGAAGUCACAAAACACUGGACCAGAUUACAGAGGGGUAUUGAUUUGCCUUGCCCCCGCCCCCACCAUCACAGUGUGUCCCUGUCCAGUGUUGGUGCUGUGUGGCAUUGCUUGUGUCCAUAGGAGUCCAUCAAGGCAGAGCGGCAGAGCGGCAAGCAGAGCGGCAAGGCAGUUCAACCCAAUGGAAAUGGAUUGAAAGAGUGAAAGUCACUGGUCUCAAAGAAUCUACGGAAUUUAGCAUUUUGAAAAUCACAGAGCAAUUUUGGGUAGGUAUUCACAUGCACUAAAAAACCAGGCAAACAUCUGACUCCCAGGAUAAAGUGACUGAGAGCAGUAGAAGACUUGUUGAGCCUUAAGGAAUAAGAGGAAAAUUAUGUUAUGAAGUGCAGGAACAGCACAGACCCAGACGAGGGGAUGCAGCCCGGAGCCAGUAACCCGGCGCCUCCUCCUCCCCAGGGCGCAGCGCUGGCUGCUCCCCGGAUACCGUGAUCACACGUCCCAGGUCCUGAGAGCGCCUCAUAGGUAGACAGUUCUUUGGGACUUUUGGGACGCAGCACUUGAAGAGAGGUUUACCUAAACUUUCCUCCUGGGAGCCUGUCAUCAUUUGAAAGUAACAGAAGAAAGCUGUCAGGCUGAGGAAAGUUUCAACAGGCACUUGGUGAGAAUGGGAAGCAUCCAUUCAUUGGGAAAUCACGGGGACAGAGGAGGAAUUCACGGGAUCAGAGCACUGAGAAACUCCAGAGGCUUCUGGUUCACCGCCCUGAUUCCACAGAUGUGGGUCAGAGGCAGAGAUGGAAGUUGGAAUGGACAAGCCUGCCCUCUCCUCAGCUCUCCAUGGCUCUGUCCUCAGGCUGUUUCUGCAAUUUGACAUGAGGCCUGGCCCCAGGGAAACCAGUGGGGCCUCAUCUCCUCCCUGUGCUGCUCUGAGGUGGAGCCUUCUCAGGGUCAGUCCAGCUCUGGAGCCCCUCUCCAGCUCGGUCACCAAAGCUGUCUGGUCCCAGGGCAGUGUGGAGUGACAGGCACGCCAGCCAAUCCAAUCGGCCAUUUCAUACCCAAUGCAUGUGACUGAUAAAGAGAUAACACCCUGUCUCCAAGACACAGGCUUUACAUAAACAGCUUUAAUGACUUCUUCACUUAGGGACAAGACUCCUUAGUGGUGGAACCUCAGGCAUCCAUGCAGGAUGUAAGAAAGCUCCCGUAUAUACAUGAACUGAGAAGUGUGUAGAAGAGUAAAUACUGUAAUAGGUAAUAAAAUGUAUGUAUUUUUAUUUAUGUGCUACUUUGUCUUUCUCCCUCUCUGUGUAUAUACACAUACAUACAAAAAUGUAUUCAUUCUAUGGAAAACAUGAAAGAUGUAAUAUUCUUUACAUAUUUAAUUAAUGUAUUUUUUCUGAUCAUAUGAACACCACAAAUAUAAUUUUAUAAUUUUUUUACCUAACAAUAAGUCUUAAACAUAAAUAUACAUGGACAAUAUCAUAGUUUUUUUUUUAAUCAUAAUUAAAAUGGUUGUGAAACAAAAAAAAAAAAAA